AAAAAGUGAUAUCCGAUGAUAAUUUGCAAAAGUUGGUAACUAGUAAAAAAUUUCACUUUUUUACUAGAGUCGGUGCAACGAGAAAAAAAAAGUCCGUGAUGGAGAAAAAUGGCACGUUUUCCACGCCUGUACGCUUUCGUUUACUAUAUAGGGGGUAGGUGAGCCAGAAGCAUGAAUUUGACUGAGUACGUAUCUUUAUGAAUUGGGCCCUUCUAAAUCGAUUGAGACUACCCCCAGGACGAUCGGACGACUGCUUCUGGCUCAAAAUGUGGUUUUUAGAUUUUGAUCGUCAAUUAUGAGAGAAAAAAUCGAUUAGAAGUAAAGAUACGAAAUGCUUGGUCUAAGUUGGGAAACGACUUCGGAUAUUUGUUGGACGUUGUCGUAGAAGGUCCGAGGACCAAGGAAAAGUGAUUUCCAAGUGGAUUUAUGCACUAUUAGUCGAUGGUAAGAUGUGAAAUUAGUAGAACUUACCAUACAGUUUGCGAAGUUGAAGCAAUCGGUUGGUGAAUAUGGUACUGUCUGUCCAAUUUGGUGGUUCGGAAUGAGUGAAACGAUGUUGAUGAUGGAUAGACGUUCCGAUUGCCCCCGAUCGGGGAACAUAUAGUGGUCUUUAAGGUCCAAGUACCUAUGUUUUGGUAAGCAGAACUGAGAGUUAAAGGAUGAAAGUCGGCCAUUCCUAAUAUCAUCCUAUCGGUGGUUCGCGAGUUGUUUGAGGACCGGAGCAGCUCGCGAUGAAACGGUCCUAGGGUAUUGGUUAUCCAUCCAAGGAAGAGUAAAUGCGAUCCUAGAUGUGUGUCGUUGGCCGUUCUACCGGUAUCGCCUAUCGAUGAGAUAUCGACGGGCAUGCCUUACUCGAAAGUUGAAUUCUAGGAUCGAUGGUCAAACAGACCUAUGAGCGAUAAACCAAACUGAACACGUAUUGAUGUCGGCUUUUCCUAUCAUUUGAUGCCGCAGGUUGUUUAGGGACCGGAGCAACUUGCGGCCGAGACGGUCCCCGGGGGUUUCUUUCUCCAAGGAGUGGAAACUAUUAAGCAAGAGUUGUAGCAAGAUACGAUCCUCUGAUGUGUCGUUGGCCGUUCAUGCGGUAUCGCCUGUCGAUGAGAUAUCGAUGGGCAUGCCUUACUCUACCGACCUUCUAAUUGAGAGUAUUAAUCAGGGAUCGAUGGUCAAACAAGACCAAUGAGCGAUAAACCAAACUGAACACGUAUUGAUGUCGGCAUUUCCUAUCAUUUGUCGCAGGUUGUUUAGGGACCGGAGCAGCUUGCGACCGAGACGGUCCCCGGGGGUUUCUUUCUCUAAGGAGUGGAAACGAUUAAGCAAAAGUCGUAGCAAUAAUCGAUCACCUGAUGUGUCGUUGGCCGUUCUUGCGGUAUCGCCUGUCGAUGAGAUAUCGAUGGGCAUGCCUUACUCUCCUGACUGUUUAAUUGAGAGUUAUAAUCAGGGAUCGAUGGUCAAAAAGACCUAUGAGCGAUAAACCAAACUGAACACGUAUUGAUGUCGGCAUUUCCUAUCAUUUGUCGCAGGUUGUUUAGGGACCGGAGCAGCUUGCGACCGAGACGGUCCCCGGGGGUUUCUUUCUCUAAGGAGUGGAAACGAUUAAGCAAAAGUCGUAGCAAUAAUCGAUCACCUGAUGUGUCGUUGGCCGUUCUUGCGGUAUCGCCUGUCGAUGAGAUAUCGAUGGGCAUGCCUUACUCUCCUGACUGUUUAAUUGAGAGUUAUAAUCAGGGAUCGAUGGUCAAAAAGACCUAUGAGCGAUAAACCAAACUGAACACGUAUUGAUGUCGGCAUUUCCUAUCAUUUGUCGCAGGUUGUUUGGGGACCGGAGCAGCUUGCGACCGAGACGGUCCCUUCCCGAAAGAUGGUGAACCGAGUCGUCUGGCGUAAAAACCGGACGACUCGAAAGGGCUUGACCCUUUCAAGUGAGCGAUAAUCACGCUCUACGCUCAGUUCGACAGCUGCAAGGCAAUCACUCGCUAAGUUCAGAGCUAAUACAUGCAACAUGCCGGCAUUGUUUCCACCGACGCAUGGAUUCAAGACUGGUGCACUUAUUAGUUAAACCGUUCGCCUCCGGGUGUUUCGAGUUCAAGUCUGGAUGAGGAUUGAUCUUGCUGGUAAUAGCUUGAGCCCUUAAGGGGUCGAAGCGUACAUCUUGAGACCAUGUACAACAUAUUACCAAAUCGGCACCAUGGGUUCGGGUGCAAGUGAUGUAACCGUGAAAGAUGUUGAGCAGCCCAACAUCGGUUUACACACGCAUAAUAGGAAGGCAGCGCUGUCGACUGGUCAGUCGUGUAAGAAGUGUGCAUUAUCGAUCUCCAAUAUAUGAGCUCAGUAUGACAGCCCAAUUGGUAAUCCUCGGGACCUCCAGAAAGGAAGCUGGAUGAGGAUUACCAAAUCGAAAGUUGAUAAGUGUAGUGGUACCACUUAGUCAACUUGUAUCCCGAAAGAUGGUGAACCGAGUCGUCUGGCGUAAAAACCGGACGACUCGAAAGGGCUUGACCCUUUCAAGUGAGCGAUAAUCACGCUCUACGCUCAGUUCGACAGCUGCAAGGCAAUCACUCGCUAAGUUCAGAGCUAAUACAUGCAACAUGCCGGCAUUGUUUCCACCGACGCAUGGAUUCAAGACUGGUGCACUUAUUAGUUAAACCGUUCGCCUCCGGGUGUUUCGAGUUCAAGUCUGGAUGAGGAUUGAUCUUGCUGGUAAUAGCUUGAGCCCUUAAGGGGUCGAAGCGUACAUCUUGAGACCAUGUACAACAUAUUACCAAAUCGGCACCAUGGGUUCGGGUGCAAGUGAUGUAACCGUGAAAGAUGUUGAGCAGCCCAACAUCGGUUUACACACGCAUAAUAGGAAGGCAGCGCUGUCGACUGGUCAGUCGUGUAAGAAGUGUGCAUUAUCGAUCACAAAUAUAUUGGUGAUCUGUAGGUUGCGCAUACACCAUGCCCGGUGUAAAGUGCCGUGGUCCCCCCCGGGGGGCUGCAUCAAACCGUUCGCCACGCGAACUACCCAAUGGAACGAACUCUAUGCAUUUAAUAAGAAGAAGAGAUGAUAAUGAAACACGGUCGAUUUAAGAGUUGAAAACGUUGAAAUACCUAUAAGCAAGUCUUAAGUUGGUGGUGACCGUUACGCCCCAACAAAUUGGUGCCUUACCCUACACCAAAGAGCCAUUCAACAUGGUUCAAGUGAGCGAUAAUCACGCUCUACGCUCAGUUCGACAGCUGCAAGGCAAUCACUCGCUAAGUUCAGAGCUAAUACAUGCAACAUGCCGGCAUUGUUUCCACCGACGCAUGGAUUCAAGACUGGUGCACUUAUUAGUUAAACCGUUCGCCUCCGGGUGUUUCGAGUUCAAGUCUGGAUGAGGAUUGAUCUUGCUGGUAAUAGCUUGAGCCCUUAAGGGGUCGAAGCGUACAUCUUGAGACCAUGUACAACAUAUUACCAAAUCGGCACCAUGGGUUCGGGUGCAAGUGAUGUAACCGUGAAAGAUGUUGAGCAGCCCAACAUCGGUUUACACACGCAUAAUAGGAAGGCAGCGCUGUCGACUGGUCAGUCGUGUAAGAAGUGUGCAUUAUCGAUCUCCAAUAUAUGAGCUCAGUAUGACAGCCCAAUUGGUAAUCCUCGGGACCUCCAGAAAGGAAGCUGGAUGAGGAUUACCAAAUCGAAAGUUGAUAAGUGUAGUGGUACCACUUAGUCAACUUGUAUCCCGAAAGAUGGUGAACCGAGUCGUCUGGCGUAAAAACCGGACGACUCGAAAGGGCUUGACCCUUUCAAGUGAGCGAUAAUCACGCUCUACGCUCAGUUCGACAGCUGCAAGGCAAUCACUCGCUAAGUUCAGAGCUAAUACAUGCAACAUGCCGGCAUUGUUUCCACCGACGCAUGGAUUCAAGACUGGUGCACUUAUUAGUUAAACCGUUCGCCUCCGGGUGUUUCGAGUUCAAGUCUGGAUGAGGAUUGAUCUUGCUGGUAAUAGCUUGAGCCCUUAAGGGGUCGAAGCGUACAUCUUGAGACCAUGUACAACAUAUUACCAAAUCGGCACCAUGGGUUCGGGUGCAAGUGAUGUAACCGUGAAAGAUGUUGAGCAGCCCAACAUCGGUUUACACACGCAUAAUAGGAAGGCAGCGCUGUCGACUGGUCAGUCGUGUAAGAAGUGUGCAUUAUCGAUCACAAAUAUAUUGGUGAUCUGUAGGUUGCGCAUACACCAUGCCCGGUGUAAAGUGCCGUGGUCCCCCCCGGGGGGCUGCAUCAAACCGUUCGCCACGCGAACUACCCAAUGGAACGAACUCUAUGCAUUUAAUAAGAAGAAGAGAUGAUAAUGAAACACGGUCGAUUUAAGAGUUGAAAACGUUGAAAUGCCUAUAAGCAAGUCUUAAGUUGGUGGUUUCGUUGUGCCCCAACAAAUUGGUGCCUUACCCUACACCAAAGAGCCAUUCAACAUGGUUCAAGUGAGCGAUAAUCACGCUCUACGCUCAGUAUGACAGCUGCAAGGCAAUCACUCGCUAAGUUCAGAGCUAAUACAUGCAACACGCCGGCAUUGUUUCCACCGACGCAUGGAUUCAAGACUGGUGCACUUAUUAGUUAAACCGUUCGCCUCCGGGUGUUUCGAGUUCAAGUCUGGAUGAGGAUUGUUCUUGCUGGUAAUAGCUUGAGCCCCUGAAUAAGGGGCCGAAGCGUACAUCUUGAGAGUAAAUGUACAACAUAUUACCAAAUCGGCACCGUGGGUUCUGGUGCAAGUGAUGUAACCAUGAAAGAUGUUGAGCAGCCCAACAUCGGUUUACACACGCAUAAGGGGUUUAUUGUUAUCUGUAGGUUGCGCAUACACCAUACCCGGUGUAAAGUGCCGUGGUCCCCCAGGGGGCUGCAUCAAAACGUUCGCCAUGCGAACUACCCAAUGGAACGAACUCGAUGUAUUGAAAGAGAUGAACAAUUAAUAGCGAGAAUAGGGGCCCGGAAGCAAUUCCGCGGCCCUACGGUCGAUUCAAGAGUUGAAACGUUGUACAAUCGUGGAUAGCACCUAGUGCUAAUAUGGUGAGAGAUAAUGUGUGAGGAAAUUUAGUUUCCUAAAGUUUAGUUAGUGGUUUCCGUUGUGCCCUAACAAACUUAAAGUUGGUGGUGACCGUUACACCCCAACAAAUUGGUGCCUUACCCAACACCAAAGAGCCAUUCCAUAU